AUCCAGCUGACGCGUCCCAAAUAAAACGAAACAGGCGUCCUGGAU
rnacentral:hammerhead_ribozyme from 1 species